rnacentral:tRNA from 2 species
GGGCGUGUAGCUCAGUUGGUAGAGCAGCUGACUCUUAAUCAGCGGGUCGCGGGUUCGAGGCCUGCCACGCCCACCA